ACGAACGCUGGCGGCGUGCUUAACACAUGCAAGUCGAACGGAAAGGCCCUGCUUGCAGGGUACUCGAGUGGCGAACGGAUGAGUAACACGUGGGUGAUCUGCCCUGCACUUCGGGAUAAGCCUGGGAAACUGGGUCUAAUACCGGAUAGGAGCCAUUUUUAGUGUGAUGGUUGGAAAGUUUUUUCGGUGUAGGAUGAGCUCGCGGCCUAUCAGCUUGUUGGUGGGGUAAUGGCCUACCAAGGCGGCGACGGGUAGCCGGCCUGAGAGGGUGGACGGCCACAUUGGGACUGAGAUACGGCCCAGACUCCUACGGGAGGCAGCAGUGGGGAAUAUUGCACAAUGGGCGCAAGCCUGAUGCAGCGACGCCGCGUGGGGGAUGACGGCCUUCGGGUUGUAAACUCCUUUCGCUAGGGACGAAGCUUUUUGUGACGGUACCUAGAUAAGAAGCACCGGCUAACUACGUG
rnacentral:rRNA from 1 species